AUUGAACGCUGGCGGCAGGCCUAACACAUGCGAGUCGAACGGUAACAGGAAGAAGCUUCCUUCUUUGCUGACGAGUGGCGGACGGGUGAGUAAUGUCUGGGAAACUGCCUGAUGGAGGGGGAUAACUACUGGAAACGGUAGCUAAUACCGCAUAACGUCGCAAGACCAAAGAGGGGGACCUUCGGGCCUCUUGCCAUCGGAUGUGCCCAGAUGGGAUUAGCUUGUUGGUGGGGUAACGGCUCACCAAGGCGACGAUCCCUAGCUGGUCUGAGAGGAUGACCAGCCACACUGGAACUGAGACACGGUCCAGACUCCUACGGGAGGCAGCAGUGGGGAAUAUUGCACAAUGGGCGCAAGCCUGAUGCAGCCAUGCCGCGUGUAUGAAGAAGGCCUUCGGGUUGUAAAGUACUUUCAGCGGGGAGGAAGGGAGUAAAGUUAAUACCUUUGCUCAUUGACGUUACCCGCAGAAGAAGCACCGGCUAACUCCGUG
rnacentral:rRNA from 1 species